UAACCUACGGGAGGCAGCAGUGGGGAAUAUUGGACAAUGGGGGCAACCCUGAUCCAGCAAUGCCGCGUGUGUGAAGAAGGCCUGCGGGUUGUAAAGCACUUUAGGUUGGGAAGAAAAAGCACAUGCUAAUACCAUGUGAAAUUGACGUUACCAACGGAAUAAGCACCGGCUAACUCUGUGCCAGCAGCCGCGGUAAUACAGAGGGUGCAAGCGUUAAUCGGAAUUACUGGGCGUAAAGCGUGCGUAGGUGGUUGAUUAAGUCAGAUGUGAAAUCCCUGAGCUUAACUUAGGAACUGCAUUUGAUACUGAUUGACUAGAGUGUAAUAGAGGGUAGUGGAAUUCCACGUGUAGCGGUGAAAUGCGUAGAUAUGUGGAGGAACAUCAGUGGCGAAGGCGACUACCUGGAUUAACACUGACACUGAGGCACGAAAGCGUGGGGAGCAAACAGGAUUAGAUACCCCGGUAGUC
rnacentral:rRNA from 1 species